GACGAACCGUGCGAACGUUGUUCGGAAUCACUGGGCUUAAAGGGCGCGUAGGCGGCUUCGCAAGUCCGGGGUGAAAGCCUCCGAGCUCCAACUGGAGAAGUGCCUUGGAUACUGCGGGGCUCGAGGGAGGUAGGGGUGCGUGGAACUUCCGGUGGAGCGGUGAAAUGCGUUGAUAUCGGGAGGAACACCAGUGGCGAAGGCGACUACCUGGCCUGUUCUUGACGCUGAGGCGCGAAAGCUAGGGGAGCAAACGGGG
rnacentral:rRNA from 1 species